rnacentral:lncRNA from 1 species
GAAUGAGAGGAGGAUGCCAUGGCCAUCGGCACCGGAGCCGGCACCCGAAACCCUAGGGGGAGGGUCGUGGGUGGUCUUGGGUGGCCGCAAGCACCGGAUUGAGUCGGAUGGUAGGGCGUCGUGGUUUGAUGGGGACCUCGAGGUUGGGGGAUGCGGUGGAUCCGGCAGCCGCCAGAGCUGCGAGGUGGGAGGAGGGGAGGGGGAGAUCCGGCGGCGAGGUGGGAGGAGGGGAGGGGGAGAUCCGGUGGCGAGGUGGAGGAAGAGGUGGUGGUGAUCUGGCAGAGAAGAG